rnacentral:lncRNA from 10 species
GGAAUAUUAAAUGGAUCUUUGAAUAAACUCAAGAGGGUAGAUUAUAAAAGGAAGAACUGUUAAAUUAGUCAAAAACAACUUUAUAACACAAUUAGCUGCAUAAGCCAGUGCGUGCGUAAGCAGGUAGUAUAAAUGCUUAGGUUGAGAUACUAAAAUUAUUAUUAGAGAAAAUUACAGGAAGUACCUAUGCUCCCACUAUGUUUUGUUACUUGGUUAAUUUUUCUCCUCUGAACUUCUGGCAGGUUUACUGGGGAAUUUUCCAUUAGGAAUAUUCUGGUCCUUAAGUUUCAUUUUGAAUGUAUAAUAUAAUCAUGCAGAUUACGAACCCACAAUCUAAAAUCAAGGCAUUCUUUUUUAAAGUUUCAGAUGAGGCUGGGUGUGG